rnacentral:tRNA from 1 species
GCGGGCGUAGCUCAAUGGUAGAGCCCCAGCCUUCCAAGCUGGCCGUGAGGGUUCGAUUCCCUUCGCCCGCU